CGGCGCAGCGACAUUUAAGUUUCGAAACUUCUCCGUUUAAUUCUCUGAUUUCACCUCUAUUUCGUGCAUAAAGACAACUUUUGGAUGUCCAGCCAGAGAUGUUUUUCACAAAAGUAUAAUGACAAGUACUGAGCUAUGGAUUCAAUUCACCUCACCACCAUCCCCAUUUCCAAGCAAUAACCAGCAAGAUCUGGAGAAUAUCUAGACUGCGUCAUGAGAAAUUUUUUUCCUUGUGUAGCGAAAAGUGCUGAGCUAUGGAUUCACUUCACCUCAACGCCAUCCCCAAUUUCUAGGAAGGAUUAUUUCAAAUUGCGAACUUAUAGAGGAUCAACAUUGAAGACAAACAGGCAACAGAGCUAAAGACAGCGACCGGCCAGGAUGGUGCUGGCAAGCUGCAACAACAUGUACAACUGUUGGGGGAGAAACUGGAGCCAAGCAUAUCCGGAAGCGCUGUAGACCAUGAUCCGGUCCAUGUAUAAAUGACCAGAGGGGUGCGUAAUGACGUUAAAGAGCGGGAGCAAGAGAUGGCGUGGUAACCAAGGACAUCACCAAAGGGAGACGUAAGAAUGACAGAGUGAGGACAGUAAAUACAUCUACCUUCAUUCUGACAGCACACUUGCGCAAGGGUACGGCUGUCUUUGGAGCAUCGUUUGCAAACUGGAUGCAAAUGACCUGAGCAGAAUAACGAAGCUGGCAAUGCUUGCUUGAGAGCCUGUUGCAAGAUCAGGGGCGUGGCUGUCACCGAGGUUGUCCAAGAGAGACCCGAUGCUAUAUUACUGUUGAAAAAGACAAAGCGUUUUGGUUUGGAAUGGCUAAGUAUUGACUGACAAACUGUCGAAAAGGUGUGACUUAUUUCUUGCCUGGUGUCUGAGAAACAGUAAUG